rnacentral:lncRNA from 1 species
ACAGGAGAAAGCAAACAAAUUGUAAAAACGAACAUAUAGAUAUCCAUAAUAAGCGAAAGACAAAUUCUCAAUCAAAAAAAACUCUCACAUAUCAAAAUAUCACUUGCGAGGAUGAGGAUGGUGUGUUCUACAGUGUUCAAUCACGUUUUCCAAGGCAAAUCUCCAUAAACCACCAUCUAACAGUUCCUCAUUAGUGUUUGGACGAGAAAACCGCCAAUUUUGAAUGAAAAAUACCAAACAAAGCAAGUAGGGGGAUAAACAAUAAAUCUUGACCGAUGAAAAGCAACAAUUUACCUAUAUAAGCAACAAAACCACCAAAAAGAGCACAACUAUCAUCGGAAGACACAAAUCUAAAGAUAACAUUUCGUUAGAACGUUAGAUCUACAAACUCUAAAAUAAAGAAAAACAUCAGAUUUGUAAAUUUUAAAAUAAAAAAAAUUAAUAAAAAAGCCACCCAAAUGUGAAAACCCACUCUCGAGUAAUUGGAGGAGGUCUUCCUAUUCGGAUG